rnacentral:misc_RNA from 1 species
GAUGAAGAACGUAGUGAAAUGCGAUAAGUAAUGUGAAUUGCAGAAUUCAGUGAAUCAUCGAAUCUUUGAACGCACAUUGCGCCCUCUGGUAUUCCGGGGGGCAUGCCUGUUCGAGCGUCAUUAUAACCACUCAAGCUCUCGCUUGGUAUUGGGGUUCGCGGUUCCGCGGCCCCUAAAAUCAGUGGCGGUGCCUGUCGGCUCUACGCGUAGUAAUACUCCUCGCGAUUGAGUCCGGUAGGUCUACUUGCCAGCAACCCCCAAUUUUUACAGGUUGACCUCGGAUCAGGUAGGGAUACCCGCUGAACUUAAGCAUAUCAAUAAGCAGAGGA